UGUGAUGUUGCUCAACUGGGAGAGCGUCAGCUUUGGGAGCUGAAGGUUGCGGGUUCGAGUCCCGUCAUUACGACCA
rnacentral:tRNA from 1 species